CGUGAGCAACCUGCCCUUUUAGAGGGGGAUAACAUUUGGAAACAAAUGCUAAUACCGCAUAAGAUUACAGUACCGCAUGAUACAGUGAUCAAAGGAGCAAUCCGCUGAAAGAUGGGCUCGCGUCCGAUUAGAUAGUUGGUGAGGUAACGGCUCACCAAGUCGACGAUCGGUAGCCGGACUGAGAGGUUGAACGGCCACAUUGGGACUGAGACACGGCCCAG
rnacentral:rRNA from 1 species